rnacentral:rRNA from 1 species
GAGUUUGAUCUUGGCUCAGAUUGAACGCUGGCGGCAGGCUUAACACAUGCAAGUCGAGCGGGGGAGAUUGCUUCGGUAAUUGACCUAGCGGCGGACGGGUGAGUAAUACUUAGGAAUCUGCCUAUUAAUGGGGGACAACAUCUCGAAAGGGAUGCUAAUACCGCAUACGCCCUACGGGGAAAGCAGGGGAUCACUUGUGACCUUGCGUUAAUAGAUGAGCCUAAGUCGGAUUAGCUAGUUGGUGGGGUAAAGGCCUACCAAGGCGACGAUCUGUAGCGGGUCUGAGAGGAUGAUCCGCCACACUGGGACUGAGACACGGCCCAGACUCCUACGGGAGGCAGCAGUGGGGAAUAUUGGACAAUGGGGGGAACCCGUGAGUCCAGCCAUGCCGCGUGUGUGAAGAAGGCCUUAUGGUUGUAAAGCACUUUAAGCGAGGAGGAGGCUCUUCUAGUUAAUACCUAGGAUGAGUGGACGUUACUCGCAGAAUAGCACCGGCUAAC